CACGUAGGCGGCGAUUUAAGUCAGAGGUGAAAGCCCGGGGCUCAACCCCGGAACUGCCUUUGAGGCUGGAUUGCUUGAAUCCUGGAGAGGUGAGUGGAAUUCCGAGUGUAGAGGUGAAAUUCGUAGAUAUUCGGAAGAACACCAGUGGCGAAGGCGGCUCACUGGACAGGUAUUGACGCUGAGGUGCGAAAGCGUGGGGAGCAAACA
rnacentral:rRNA from 1 species